AGAUGUGUGCCCGAGAACUAGGGGUUACUUUGAUAGAGUAAAACACAGGGAACAGUACAACCCUCACAUCUU
rnacentral:tRNA from 1 species